rnacentral:rRNA from 1 species
UACAGAGGGUGCAAGCGUUAAUCGGAAUUACUGGGCGUAAAGCGUGCGUAGACGGUUGCGUAAGUCAGAUGUGAAAGCCCCGGGCUCAACCUGGGAACUGCGUCCGAUACUGGAUGGCUUGAAUCCGGGAGAGGGAUGCAGAAUUCCAGGUGUAGCGGUGAAAUGCGUAGAGAUGCGGAGGAACACCGAUGGCGAAGGCAGCCCCCUGGGCUAGCACUGACGCUCAGGCACGAAAGCGUGGGGAGCAAACAGG